rnacentral:lncRNA from 1 species
CAUAAUGGUCAUUUGAAAAGAUAAUACUAAGCUAUAUGCGUUUGCUAAUGCUUUCACCAUAGAAGCAUACAGUUUCUUUGAGACAAGAACAACAAAGCCAGAGAAAAUAUUCAUAUUUUUUAGACAUUUUAAUAUCUCUUAACAAUCAACAAUUCCAGAUGAAGUGAUAGGAAAUUGCUAUAUGAACCAGUUUUAAUCCCUAACUGGUCACAAGACCCAAUCUCCUACAAGAAUGUCACUUUUAGACAUUUUUACAAAAGUGUAUUAAUGUAUUGCACAGAACCAUAUGACCUUCAAAAUAAAUUGCAGUACAUAGUUUCAGUAGGUAUUAACCAUGGUUAUAAGAAAUUCUUUCUGCAGAGCAUUCUAAAUUCAGUGAAAAGAAGCUUAACCACACAGACAAACCAGCAUAAUGAAGCCAGUCACCUGACACAGACCAAAGGAUACCUACCUGUGCACAAACCUAAAAAAAAUUCAACUUUAUAAAUCAUAUAGUGAAGAAAUAUAAUAAGAAAAUUAUGUAUAGAAGAGCAUCGACUAUAUUUAAUUUAAUAAGAAAUGAUAGACACUUCAAAGAAUGUGCAGAGAAGCGGAGUCUAUAAUAUACCAGUAGAAAAUGCUAGAACAAGGCAGAAAUCUUCAUAUAUACACAUAACAAAAAGAACACUAACACAAAGAGUAGAAGAGCACAAAAGAGAUAUAUCUAAAGAUAAA